UACGUAGGGUGCGAGCGUUGUCCGGAAUUAUUGGGCGUAAAGAGCUUGUAGGCGGUUCGUCGCGUCUGCCGUGAAAAUCCGGGGCUCAACCCCGGACUUGCGGUGGGUACGGGCAGACUAGAGUGUGGUAGGGGAGACUGGAAUUCCUGGUGUAGCGGUGAAAUGCGCAGAUAUCAGGAGGAACACCGAUGGCGAAGGCAGGUCUCUGGGCCACUACUGACGCUGAGAAGCGAAAGCGUGGGGAGCGAACAGG
rnacentral:rRNA from 1 species